rnacentral:rRNA from 1 species
UAAACGACUCUCGGCAACGGAUAUCUCGGCUCACGCAUCGAUGAAGAACGUAGCAAAAUGCGAUACUUGGUGUGAAUUGCAGAAUCCCGUGAAUCAUCGAGUUUUUGAACGCAAGUUGCGCCCGAAGCCUUCUGGCUGAGGGCACGCCUGCCUGGGCGUCACGC